GUUCAUACGUAAGGUUUCCUAAAAUACACACACAAAGCAUUUUUUUACUGUGAAAGUUUACAAUGUCGGCAUCGAAAUUUGCUAUAUUUUGUAUUGUUCUCAUUUGUCUUGCUAGUCUUCAUGAAUGUGCCAACCCCGAAAAAAAAGCCCAAAGGAACAUGCUCUAAAACACCAAAGAAUGUUUGGUGUUGCAGUUCCACUACACACUGCCGAAGCACCAAAGCGGAUUGUGAGAAGAUGUGUAUCUGGUAGUAUCUAGGGCCGUUGAAUUUUACCAAAGAGAAUUUCAAUAAUUAUAUAUUCCAAUUAUUUUCAUAAUUCUAUUAUUCAAAAUUUAAAGAAUAAACAGAAAUUCCUAUUCCACAGAAGUAGCUAGUAUUAUGUACUAAAUGUUUUGGAAUUUCUUUGAAAGAUCAAUAUAUAUAGUUGUAACUUUCUUCAAUUUUAUUUAAGAAAUUUAUAAAUUUUAUAGAAAAUGAGAAUAAAACCACUGUACCUGUUUAACUAAAAUUUAAAUGUUGUAAGUACUUUGUAAAUUAAAUAAAAUAAAAAUACAUCACUUCAAAAUAUAUUAUAAAUUAUAUAAAUUAAUUAAUUAACACAAAAAUUAACAAUUUUCACCAUUCUCGGACUUGACCGAUUCAAAAUAUAACACAAUUGUUUAAGAUAAUAAGAUAAUGUACUGUAAUCCAUAACGGUGUGGGUCUUCUCAAACACUAAAAUUUUAUAAUAAAAAUUAAUAUAUAAUUUUUUUAUAAAUAUAACCAAAACAUUGUUUUGUUUCCACCAUGAACUUAAUCGCUAAUUAUUCUUAACCAUUCACAACAUUUUGAUAUGGUUUUAUCACUUACUUGUAAAACACAUUUGCAUUAUAUAAUCCAUAUCUUAUAUACAUCAAAUUAUUUAACAAGAAAAAGUUGAAAGCCAAAGUUAAGAUUAAUUAAUAUAUAAGCCAAGAAAAAAUGAUUUUUUAUUUGACAUAAAUAAUUUAUUUAAUAUAUGAAUGACAAAAAUGAUUUUUUUCUAAACAAAUAAUAUAUCAUAUUUACACCAUUACUAAUAAAAUAAUUUUCAGUUAUUUUACAAUAACUGAAAACACAUAAUUUUUAUUUCAUGUAAUAUGCAUCUUACAUGAAACAAUAUAUUAUUGUUAUGAACAAGGUUAUUAAUGAGAAAGGUUUUUCAUUGAAUUUAACCAUGAGGCUUCAAUAAUGCUUACGAUAUUACUGACAUUGUGAUCAUGUUUUAUCUUGGAAAAUGGUGGUUUAUAGCACUAUUAUUAUUAUUAAAUUAUUCUCACGUAAAAUAUGUCAUUUUGAAAACCAAUAAAUAAUAUAAUGGCUACCUAGGCGUUAGUUCAUAUUAGUAACAUAACUUUUAUUAUUUUGUUUUUCUCUUAUGAUAGUCCUUACAAUAUUUUGAUUAUCAUAUAUAUUUCUCACGUACAUCUAUGUUUGGAAAAUAAUAAUAAAAAUAUUUUUCUUUAUUUAUUUCACCAUAAAAAUACUUUUUGGUAAAUUAGAACUUUUAAGUAAAUUAGUAUCUACAAUAACUUUUAACUUCAAUCAGUAUAUGCCCGACUUUCAUAAUAUAUAUAGAUAAAUCCAUUAAGAAUCGAAGACUCUAUUUUUCCAUCUAAAAUAAAUUAGUAAAAAAAAAUAUAGUAGCUACUCUUUGCUAAUUUAAUUUGGCCACAUCUUUAAGCUUUUAAAGUUACCCAUAUAUAUAUACAUAUGGCUGUACUUUUAGGUGGUGAUAUAUCCUAUCAAAAAAUAAAAUGAAAAUUUUGGAACUUUUUAACAUAAAUAUAUUAAAAUAUAAGGAGAAUAAAAGUAACCAAUAAUUAUAUUUUCAGAUUCUUCGGAUUAUCAUGCGAAACAUUUUCAGGGACAUAUAUACAUCUUCUCAUAUAAGGAUAUCGAUAAGAAAUUAGUAAAUGCUAAAAUUGGUAGCUAAUCUAUUGCUAGUUUAUUUUAUCCACAUAUUUAAUCUUUCAACGUUACAUAUAUAUAUAUACGGUUGUCGUUAAUAGGUAUUUUUAGGUGCUGAAUUAUUGUAUCAAAAACGAAAAUGAAUAUUUUAAAUAAAAUUUAACAUAAAUAUUUUAGGAUAUAAAGAAAAUAAAACUAACCAAUCAAUUGAAAACAGUUUUUCUGGAUAAUUCUAAAAAUAGUCUUCAAAGACCUAUAUAUAUGUAUAUGUUCAUACGUAAGGUUUCCUAAAAUACACACACAAAGCAUUUUUUUACUGUGAAAGUUUACAAUGUCGGCAUCAAAAUUUGCUAUAUUUUGUAUUGUUCUCAUUUGUCUUGCUAGUCUUCAUGAAUGUGCCAACCCGGAAAGAAAGCCCAAAGGAACAUGCUCUAAAACACCAAAGAAUGUUUGGUGUUGCAGUUCCACUACACACUGCCGAAGCACCAAAGCGGAUUGCGAGAAGAUAUGUAUCUGGUAGUAUUUGGGGCCGUUGAAUUUUACCAAAGAGAAUUUCAAUAAUUAUAUAUUCCAAUUAUUUUCAUAAUUCUAUUAUUCAAAAUUUAAAGAAUAAAUAGAAAUUCCUAUUCCACAGGAGCAGCUAGUAUUAUGUACUAAAUGUUUUGGAGUUUCUUUGAAAGAUCAAUAUAUAUAGUUGUAACUUUCUUCAA